UACAGAGACCUCAAGCGUUAUCCGGAUUUAUUGGGCGUAAAGGGUCCGCAGGUGGUCGUGCGCGUCGAUUGUUAAAUCCCCGAGCUCAACUCGGAAAUCGCAGUCGAUACGGCACAACUAGAGGCCGGAAGAGGUAAGCGGAAUUGCCGGUGUAGUAGUAAUAUGCGUUCAUAUCGGCAAGAACACCAAAUGCGAAGGCAGCUUACUGGGACGCGCCUGACACUCAGGGACGAAAGCGUGGGGAGCGAAAGGG
rnacentral:rRNA from 1 species